rnacentral:lncRNA from 1 species
UUUUUUCUCCCUUUUGGACCCUAGGCUUGGCCUAGUGGUCUAGUUUCUCACAUUUGGUAUGGAUUUUCAGGAUGAAAUGCACAAUGCUUAAGGAGAUUGCUUCAAGGCAAUUUGAAUUGAGUUUGGUUGAUGUUUAUAAACUAACUUGACUUUGUUUUGUAGGGAUUGAUGCUUGAGCUUGAGCUUAUAGCUUGCACUUAUGUGCAUUAACUUGUGUUGUCUGUAUAGAUUAACUUUUGCUGUUUAUUGUUG